GAUCAUAUCAGAGUGCUCCAUAUGCUCAACUCAUUUCAGAUUGCAAAAACCAUGACAUUAUCAAAGAGUGUCAUUCAAGUUCUAUCAUACAUUCCUACUUCACUGAAUGAGCACCCGUCGCAGUUAUCAAAUUUGAAGUAUCUGAAGGUGAAGAGUAGUAGUAAGUCAUCUAAGAAAGUCAGGAUACCCAGAGAUAUCUUAAAUUACUUUCUGAAGAGCUCUCCGUUGCUCGAAAUUUGUUAAGUGAAAGGACAUUUUAAUCAAUUUUUGGUCAAAUUAUCGAUGUUAAUAGGAUUAUGCACUUUUCUGAUAUAAAUUAUGGUGACAGGUUAUUUUAAUUCAGCUGUAAUUUUAGGUAAUUACUAAAACUUGUCUGAAA